UGGUAAGUUUGUAAAUGAUUGUUUUAUUUUUAACUUGCAUUUUUCGUAUUGAAAUUUUUUUUGUUUACAUAAAAUGAUGACAAUUCCUUAAUGACCUGUUAAAAAUUAAGAUGGUUUGGGUCGUUGAAGAUAUUGCUGCUCGUUAUACAUUUCUUACAGAGAGGAGAAGUGGACGGCUUUUAAUGAAAAUGAAGGUAGUUCUUAGCCAUUUUCACCAGUGACAACAUUGGAUUUACUUACCUCUUUAUCGUCAUGGUGAAAAAAUAAGUGAUCGCUACCAUGGAUCCGCAUCUUACGUUGCCUUCUACUUGGAAGCCUUAUCAAGAGCCAGCACAGCAAUUGUGAUUUGUUGCAUUUACAAACAGCAUACACGGACAGUAUGGGUUGUGAGGUGGUUAUUCGUUCGGCCUUACUGUAAAUUUGGCUUGUUGUAUACAAGUAAUAUACUUAAUACGCAAAGUGGACCAUUGCCUUUAGGGGUUCUUGAGAAUGGUAAUUGGAAGUUGGAGAUGCUUGACCAUCGCUUUGACAUCCAUUUAAGGCGAUCAUCUUCGACAGCAGCAACAACAGCAUUGGGUUUAAUUUGAGCAGCAAUACAUGAAACCAUUUUAUUAUAUCUUAUUCAAGUUCAUAAUUUUAUGAAGGUUUCAUUAAAAUAAGAAAAUUACUCUUUGUAUUA